UUAGUUGGUUGUACAUUUGUUCCUAUCUUUAGGCAGGUGUAUUCCACUAAGAGAAAGGGGUAGCAUGCCAUCCUGGGGUGUUCUAUCUCAGAACUUUCUUCUCUUGCCCAAAGCACUGCUGCUGCAUUUUUAGCCAUACUGCUUUUGCAGUUGAAGGAAGAUACCUAAAAUGUACUCAAGACUCCACAGUUAUGAAAUGAUUGAAGAAAGACCAAUGAAUAUCGUUCUAUCCUUCUUCUUUAUUACCUACCAGAACACUGUUACAAGUGGCUAUUGGCUAGGAGCAGAGGAACUGUCAAUCUUGAAGCAGGAUCUGUUUGAAUGCACAGCUAUUUCAUAAGAUAGUGUGUAUUGAGUUUCUAGAUUUGAAUGAUAUACCUAUGGUAAGUUUGUCAAUAAAGACUUCACCUAAUCAUUUCUAUGGGAGAAAAAAAAAUAAAGAUUUUCAUAGCAAUAGAGACCCACAAAACAAAUAUUCUGAGCACAUAUUGUGAUUUCAUUCAGAUAAUAUAGAACUUCUUUUCAAGGCAGUAUUCUAAAACAAUUGAAAACAUUUUUCUCAAAGUAUUAAUAUUAAUAGCUUUACAAAUGGAUUAAUGUCUCAAACACAAUGUGUAUAGCUAUAUAUUAAUGAAAGGUAGGCUACUACCUAUGGCAAAUAAAAUCAAAUUAGAGAGAGAUGAUUAGUAAAAUGCAGGUUAUUCCUGUAGAUCUUUAAUAUUUCCACUUAAAAAGAACAUUAGAGUUUAUUGUUGUGGAGAAUUUUUAAAAGUAGAAGUAACUCACAAUCAUGCCAAGUCUUAAGGUGAUGAUUUCAAAAGCAGAGCAAGUUUUGGUAACCCUUAUGAACAAUGAAUUAGAAUAUAUCCUAAUAUGCUACAACUCUCUAGGCUGCUUUCCAGAGGAUUUUUUUUGCAUAUUUAAAAUAGACUAAAAAUUUACUUAAGCAAGCUCACGGAUUAAUUGUGGUUCCACUGAUGUAAAAGUCUCGAUCGAGCAGACUAGCUGGGCAGUCACUGGAUUAGUGCACAAGAUAAACGCCUCUGCUGAUGGCUGCUUAGGUCCUGUGCUCUGGAGUGCAUCUGAUCGUGCUGCCAUUUGUUCACUAGUCACAGAGCUUUCCUUUUUAAUUUUAUUUAUAUAUUUUUAAUAAUCAAGUUUUCAUAGCGUAAGCUCAUGAAAAAUCAAAAUGGUAAUCUGAUUAACAAGAUUUGUAGGUAUGCGUGGUAAGUUCCAGAAGGCUGGGUGUUUCCAUGGCUAACACCCCAGUAAAGCUUCAAGGAUGAAAACCCUUGCAUUUUCCCAUGGCUCCUCUUUUAUCUCUUAGAAAGAUUAGGCUAUCCCCUGCCACAACUUUCCACCUUUUGAGUUUCUAGGCAGGUAAAACAUUAAAAUGCACAGCAACUAAACUUCAAACAGGCUUUUUAUUAGAUGCCACCUGCAAAUCCUUUAGGAUUACUUAUUUUCAGAUAUCCGAUCCUAGUCUGCAUGGGUUUAUUAGAGGAGGAUUUAACUAUGAGAGCCGCAGUGAAUUGGCAGAAAUGGAACUAGAAAGAGAGUCAUGUGAUUGUGGGAUUAUGAAGGCUCUAGAUUCAGAAAUUACACAAUUGUGCUUAAGACAAAGCAGUUAGCAAACUAUUGUGGUAUUUUUUGAAAAUCAAUUUUGAUAUGAUUCAAAAUACUCAAAUUAUAUGCUCAACAAAUAACUCAAGUGACAUAAAACAUAAUUGUGGUAAUUUUACCCUUAUGAACCCACUGAAUUUUCCUCUUAAGAAAACUAAAAGAUUCAAAACAAAGCCCUUGAAGAUUUAACAUCGAUGCUGUCAUAUUCGCUUCUCAGAAUACAAUUAGCCCAAGGUUAAAGCUAAAUAUUAAAACAUUACAAUCCUUAAAAGAAAUAGAGAUGUUUAGAAUCCCAUUACUUAUUAGGACCUCAGUGCAUCUUUCAUAACUCAAUAUAUCUUGUAAUUUUAAUUCAAAAUGAAAAUUUAAAUUCCAUUAAACAUUUAAAAAUCUAAGUACCUGUGAUUUUAUUCUUGAAUUGAAUAUUUCAUGCUGGCUCUUUGAAACAUUUUCAACUCUUUGGGAAUUUAUCUUUUCAUGGUCACAAUACCUGUGUAUCUGUGGUUCUUUUGUAGUUAUUUUUAUAUUUUAUUAAUUCAUGAAUUUGCAUAAAUGAAUCUUUCCAAUGGCAAAGCAAUGAACUAAACAAUCUUCAAGUAAGGCUGUCUUCCUAAUUGCUGUGUUUUUUUUGGUUUUUGUUUUAUUUUAUUUUUUUUAUUUAUUUUUUGUUUUGUUUUGUUUUGUUUUUUGCUUCCCUAAAGAAGUCACUGAGGUAGAUGGCUGAAUCUUCAUAUUAUCACAUCAGAGAUACAGUAUCACCUAGGUUCUGAUCCUAAAACAUGGAUACCUAGCUUCUUCACUUAAAUACGCCUUUCCAACAUGUUCUAGAGAAAUGAUCCUUCAAGAGUGUGUCCAGAUGCUAUGGAAAUUGCUUUGUAGGGAAGAAUGUUUACCUCAAAAGUUUGAAGACCUGAGAAAAAAAUCUACCCAUCUAAACAGUCAUGUUCACCGCAUACCCCUGAAUUUUAGGGACAGAAGCCGGAUGAUGGCUUGUGGUUGCUGGCAGCCAACCUUGCUCUAGUUCCUGCAAAAGACUGUCCUUAGAGAAUAAGGCAGACAGAAAUGGGAAGAAGAAGCCAUCUUUCUCUGUCUUAAGCCAUCUUUCUUUGUCUUCCAUGCAUAUAUGUAUUUCACAAACCUAUGUAUAUAUCACCUGAACACACACAGAGAAGAUCAAGCGUGUGCACACACACACAUACAUGCACAUACACACACACACACACACACACACACACACACACACACACACACACACAGAGUUAUUUACACACAAACACAAAAAAAAUACACAUCCUCAAGUCAAUCUUGUUUUGUUGCUGUUGUCAUUAUUGUUGUUUUUCUUUUUUUUUGGUGGGGGGGUGGAGGUUCGAGACAGAGUUUCUCUGUAUAGCCCUGGCUGUCCUGGAAUUCACUUUGUAGACCAGACUGGCCUCGAACUCAGAAAUCCACCUGCCUCUGUCUCCCAAGUGCUGGGAUUAAAGGCAUGCGCCACCACUGCCCGCAUUGUUGUUUUUCUUUACAAAUGGUUUUUCAUUUUUAAUUGUUUUGUUUUCCUAGACUACACAUUCCUUAAGACUUAUUAUUAGGGACUUUUUAAUUAAUAUUAUUUGUUUUUCGUAGUACAUAUUUUGAUUAUGGUUUUCCCUUCUCUGACUUGUCCCAAGUUCCCUAUCCAACCAAAUGCAUACCCUUUCUCUCUCAUUAGAAUACAAACAACCAUCUAAAUAAUAAUAAAUUCUUUUGAGAGUUGAAAUAUCUGCAUAUGAAAAGCUUCCCUGCUCAGUGACUGGUAGUGGUACCCAAUGGCAAAGGCCAUGAUGAUUUUUGUAUUCAAAAUUCUUGCAUCCAAAAAAGUAAUUAAAUGAGUUUGGUUAAGCCCUCCAGAUGUGACAGUGACACUCCUUUCAAAUU
rnacentral:lncRNA from 1 species